AUAUGGUCAAGUGAAGAAGCGCAUACGGUGGAUGCCUUGGCAGUCAGAGGCGAUGAAAGACGUGGUAGCCUGCGAAAAGCUUCGGGGAGUCGGCAAACAGACUUUGAUCCGGAGAUGUCUGAAUGGGGGAACCCAGCCAUCAUAAGAUGGUUACCUUACACUGAAUACAUAGGUGUAUGGAGCGAACCAGGGGAACUGAAACAUCUAAGUACCCUGAGGAAAAGAAAUCAACCGAGAUUCCCUUAGUAGUGGCGAGCGAACGGGGACUAGCCCUUAAGUGGCUUUGAGAUUAGCGGAACGCUCUGGAAAGUGCGGCCAUAGUGGGUGAUAGCCCUGUACGCGAAAAUCUCUUAGUCAUGAAAUCGAGUAGGACGGAGCACGAGAAACUUUGUCUGAAUAUGGGGGGACCAUCCUCCAAGGCUAAAUACUACUGACUGACCGAUAGUGAACUAGUACCGUGAGGGAAAGGCGAAAAGAACCCCGGAGAGGGGAGUGAAAUAGAUCCUGAAACCGUAUGCGUACAAGCAGUGGGAGCCCACUUUGUUGGGUGACUGCGUACCUUUUGUAUAAUGGGUCAGCGACUUAUUUUCAGUGGCGAGCUUAACCGAAUAGGGGAGGCGUAGCGAAAGCGAGUCUUAAUAGGGCGUCUAGUCGCUGGGAAUAGACCCGAAACCGGGCGAUCUAUCCAUGGGCAGGUUGAAGGUUGGGUAACACUAACUGGAGGACCGAACCGACUACCGUUGAAAAGUUAGCGGAUGACCUGUGGAUCGGAGUGAAAGGCUAAUCAAGCUCGGAGAUAGCUGGUUCUCCUCGAAAGCUAUUUAGGUAGCGCCUCAUGUAUCACUGUAGGGGGUAGAGCACUGUUUCGGCUAGGGGGUCAUCCCGACUUACCAAACCGAUGCAAACUCCGAAUACCUACAAGUGCCGAGCAUGGGAGACACACGGCGGGUGCUAACGUCCGUCGUGAAAAGGGAAACAACCCAGACCGUCAGCUAAGGUCCCAAAGUUAUGGUUAAGUGGGAAACGAUGUGGGAAGGCUUAGACAGCUAGGAGGUUGGCUUAGAAGCAGCCACCCUUUAAAGAAAGCGUAAUAGCUCACUAGUCGAGUCGGCCUGCGCGGAAGAUGUAACGGGGCUCAAACCAUACACCGAAGCUACGGGUAUCACGUAAGUGAUGCGGUAGAGGAGCGUUCUGUAAGCCUGUGAAGGUGAGUUGAGAAGCUUGCUGGAGGUAUCAGAAGUGCGAAUGCUGACAUGAGUAACGACAAUGGGUGUGAAAAACACCCACGCCGAAAGACCAAGGUUUCCUGCGCAACGUUAAUCGACGCAGGGUUAGUCGGUCCCUAAGGCGAGGCUGAAAAGCGUAGUCGAUGGAAAACAGGUUAAUAUUCCUGUACUUCUGGUUAUUGCGAUGGAGGGACGGAGAAGGCUAGGCCAGCUUGGCGUUGGUUGUCCAAGUUUAAGGUGGUAGGCUGAGAUCUUAGGUAAAUCCGGGAUCUUAAGGCCGAGAGCUGAUGACGAGUUAUCUUUUAGAUGACGAAGUGGUUGAUGCCAUGCUUCCAAGAAAAGCUUCUAAGCUUCAGGUAACCAGGAACCGUACCCCAAACCGACACAGGUGGUUGGGUAGAGAAUACCAAGGCGCUUGAGAGAACUCGGGUGAAGGAACUAGGCAAAAUGGCACCGUAACUUCGGGAGAAGGUGCGCCGGUGAGGGUGAAGGACUUGCUCCGUAAGCUCAUGCCGGUCGAAGAUACCAGGCCGCUGCGACUGUUUAUUAAAAACACAGCACUCUGCAAACACGAAAGUGGACGUAUAGGGUGUGACGCCUGCCCGGUGCCGGAAGGUUAAUUGAUGGGGUUAGCUAACGCGAAGCUCUUGAUCGAAGCCCCGGUAAACGGCGGCCGUAACUAUAACGGUCCUAAGGUAGCGAAAUUCCUUGUCGGGUAAGUUCCGACCUGCACGAAUGGCGUAACGAUGGCGGCGCUGUCUCCACCCGAGACUCAGUGAAAUUGAAAUCGCUGUGAAGAUGCAGUGUAUCCGCGGCUAGACGGAAAGACCCCGUGAACCUUUACUAUAGCUUUGCACUGGACUUUGAAUUUGCUUGUGUAGGAUAGGUGGGAGGCUUUGAAGCGUGGACGCCAGUCUGCGUGGAGCCAACCUUGAAAUACCACCCUGGCAACUUUGAGGUUCUAACUCAGGUCCGUUAUCCGGAUCGAGGACAGUGUAUGGUGGGUAGUUUGACUGGGGCGGUCUCCUCCUAAAGAGUAACGGAGGAGUACGAAGGUGCGCUCAGACCGGUCGGAAAUCGGUCGUAGAGUAUAAAGGCAAAAGCGCGCUUGACUGCGAGACAGACACGUCGAGCAGGUACGAAAGUAGGUCUUAGUGAUCCGGUGGUUCUGUAUGGAAGGGCCAUCGCUCAACGGAUAAAAGGUACUCCGGGGAUAACAGGCUGAUACCGCCCAAGAGUUCAUAUCGACGGCGGUGUUUGGCACCUCGAUGUCGGCUCAUCACAUCCUGGGGCUGAAGCCGGUCCCAAGGGUAUGGCUGUUCGCCAUUUAAAGUGGUACGCGAGCUGGGUUUAGAACGUCGUGAGACAGUUCGGUCCCUAUCUGCCGUGGACGUUUGAGAUUUGAGAGGGGCUGCUCCUAGUACGAGAGGACCGGAGUGGACGAACCUCUGGUGUUCCGGUUGUCACGCCAGUGGCAUUGCCGGGUAGCUAUGUUCGGAAUAGAUAACCGCUGAAAGCAUCUAAGCGGGAAACUAGCCUCAAGAUGAGAUCUCACUGGAACCUUGAGUUCCCUGAAGGGCCGUCGAAGACUACGACGUUGAUAGGUUGGGUGUGUAAGCGCUGUGAGGCGUUGAGCUAACCAAUACUAAUUGCCCGUGAGGCUUGACCAU
rnacentral:rRNA from 1 species